GAUGAACGCUGGCGGCGUGCCUAAUACAUGCAAGUCGAGCGAACAGACGAGGAGCUUGCUCCUCUGAGGUUAGCGGCGGACGGGUGAGUAACACGUGGAUAACCUACCUAUAAGACUGGGAUAACUUCGGGAAACCGGAGCUAAUACCGGAUAAUAUAUUGAACCGCAUGGUUCAAUAGUGAAAGACGGUUUUGCUGUCACUUAUAGAUGGAUCCGCGCCGCAUUAGCUAGUUGGUAAGGUAACGGCUUACCAAGGCAACGAUGCGUAGCCGACCUGAGAGGGUGAUCGGCCACACUGGAACUGAGACACGGUCCAGACUCCUACGGGAGGCAGCAGUAGGGAAUCUUCCGCAAUGGGCGAAAGCCUGACGGAGCAACGCCGCGUGAGUGAUGAAGGUCUUCGGAUCGUAAAACUCUGUUAUUAGGGAAGAACAAAUGUGUAAGUAACUAUGCACGUCUUGACGGUACCUAAUCAGAAAGCCACGGCUAACUACGUG
rnacentral:rRNA from 1 species